rnacentral:rRNA from 1 species
UCCGGAGGGGGCUAUCGUUGUUCGGAAUUACUGGGCGUAAAGCGCGCGUAGGCGGAUGUUCAAGUCGGGGGUGAAAUCCCGGGGCUCAACCCCGGAACUGCCUCCGAUACUGGACGUCUGGAGGACGGAAGAGGCGAGUGGAAUGCCGAGUGUAGAGGUGAAAUUCGUAGAUAUUCGGCGGAACACCCGUGGCGAAGGCGGCUCGCUGGUCCGUUUCUGACGCUGAGGCGCGAAAGCGUGGGGAGAAAACAGG